AGGUUCUUUUUCAUUAACUUCAUCCUUUACUCUUCACAAUGUACUGCUGGUUCCUUCCUUUAAACACAACUUGAUUUCUGUCCACAAGUUAGUAAAACAGUUGCACUGUAUAGUUUUGUUUACUCCAACUUCCUGUUUACUCCACAUGAUACAGGACCCUUCUCUGAAGAGGCUUCUGGAUCUUGGUAAAGAGGAAGCUGGCCUAUACAAACUGUCUUGG
rnacentral:lncRNA from 1 species